rnacentral:rRNA from 1 species
UACAGGGGUGCCAAGCGUUGUUCGGAUUUAUUGGGCGUAAAGGGUGCGUAGGCGGUUAUGUAAGUCGGGUGUGAAAUUUCGGAGCCUAACUCCGAAACUGCAUUCGAAACUGCAUAGCUCGAGGUCUGGAGAGGUAAUUGGAAUUCUAGGUGUAGCAGUGAAAUGCGUAGAUAUCUAGAGGAACACCAGAGGCGAAAGCGAAUUACUGGACAGAACCUGACGCUGAGGCACGAAAGCUAGGGGAGCAAACGGG